GCCUUGGUGGCCUGGUGGAAGAGCGUCCGCCUCGGAUGCGGAAAUUCGUGGGUUCGAUCCCCAGUCAAGUUA